UACGUAGGGUGCAAGCGUUAAUCGGAAUUACUGGGCGUAAAGCGUGCGCAGGCGGUGAUGUAAGACAGAUGUGAAAUCCCCGGGCUCAACCUGGGAACUGCAUUUGUGACUGCAUCGCUGGAGUGCGGCAGAGGGGGAUGGAAUUCCGCGUGUAGCAGUGAAAUGCGUAGAGAUCCGGAGGAACACCGACGGCGUAGGCAGCGCCCUGGACGACACCUGACGCUGAGGCACGAAAGCUGGGGGAGCAAACAGG
rnacentral:rRNA from 1 species